UUGAAACACCAGUUCUCAUAUGAUCACCAAGUUAAGCAAUGUCAAGCCUGGUCAGUACCUAGAUGGGUGACUGUUUGGGAAUACCAAGUACUGUAAG
rnacentral:rRNA from 1 species